AAACCUACCUGGGCUUGACAUACACCAGAUCGGGGUAGAGAUAGGGUUUCCCUUGUGGUUGGUGUACAGGUGGUGCAUGGUGGUCGUCAGCUCGUGUCGUGAGAUGUUGGGUUAAGUCCCGCAACGAGCGCAACCCUUGUUUUAUGUUGCCAGCACGUGAUGGUGGGGACUCAUGAGAGACUGCCGGGGUUAACUCGGAGGAAGGUGGGGAAGACGUCAAAUCAUCAUGCCCCUUAUGUCCAGGGCUUCACACCUGGUACAAUGGUCGGUACAGCGCGUUGCCACAUCGUGAGGUGGAGCUAAUCUUUUAAAGCCGGCCUCAGUUCGGAUUGGGGUCUGCAACUUGACCCCAUGAAGUCGGAGUCGCUAGUAAUCGCAGAUCAGCACGCGCGGAUCGCUC
rnacentral:rRNA from 1 species